rnacentral:rRNA from 1 species
GGGGAAUAUUGCGCAAUGGGGGAAACCCUGACGCAGCAACGCCGCGUGAAGGAUGAAGGUUUUCGGAUCGUAAACUUCUUUGAUGAGGGACGAAGAAUGACGGUACCUCAAAAACAAGCCACGGCUAACUACGUGCCAGCAGCCGCGGUAAUACGUAGGUGGCGAGCGUUGUCCGGAAUUACUGGGUGUAAAGGGCGUGUAGGCGGGGAUACAAGUCAGAUGUGAAAUACCGUGGCUUAACCACGGGGCUGCAUCUGAAACUGUAUUUCUUGAGUGUCGGAGAGGAAAGUGGAAUUCCGAGUGUAGCGGUGAAAUGCGUAGAUAUUGGGAGGAACACCAGUGGCGAAGGCGACUUUCUGGACGAUAACUGACGCUGAGGCGCGAAAGCGUGGGGAGCAAACA